rnacentral:rRNA from 1 species
CCUACGGGAGGCAGCAGUGGGGAAUAUUGCGCAAUGGGCGAAAGCCUGACGCAGCGACGCCGCGUGAGGGAUGAAGGUCUUCGGAUCGUAAACCUCUGUCAGCAGGGAAGAACGGUCACUGUGCUAAUCAGCAGUGAAUUGACGGUACCUGCAAAGGAAGCAUCGGCUAACUCCGUGCCAGCAGCCGCGGUAAUACGGAGGGUGCGAGCGGUAAUCGGAAUUACUGGGCGUAAAGCGCUCGUAGGCGGUAUGUCAAGGCAAGGCUGAAAUCCCCGCGCUCAACGUGGGAACUGCCGUUGAAACUGGCAGACUGGAGUGUGUGAGAGGAUAGUGGAAUUCCAGGUGUAGGAGUGAAAUCCGUAGAUAUCUGGAGGAACAUCGGUGGCGAAGGCGACUAUCUGGCACAUAACUGACGCUGAGGAGCGAAAGCGUGGGUAGCAAACAGGAUUAGAUACCCGAGUAGUC